UUCUUAUCAAGAGAGGCGGAGGGACUGGCCCUUUGAAGCCCGGCAACCUCAGUUACAAAAAACUGAACAGGUGCUAAAUCCUGCAAAAUGCAAAGCAUUUUGGAAGAUAAAAU
rnacentral:ncRNA from 2 species